rnacentral:rRNA from 1 species
ACGAACGCUGGCGGCAGGCCUCAAACAUGCAAGUCUAGGGGGUGUAGCAAUACAUCACCGGCGGACGGGUGCGUAACACGUGGGAAUAUACCUUUCGGUACGGAACAACUGCGGGAAACUGCAGCUAAUACCGUAUACGUCCUAGCGGAGAAAGAUUUAUCGCCGAAGGAUUAGCCUGCGUUCGAUUAGCUAGUUGGUGGGGUAAUGGCCCACCAAGGCGACGAUCGAUAGCUGUUCUGAGAGGAAGAUCAGCCACACUGGGACUGAGACACGGCCCAGACUCCUACGGGAGGCAGCAGUUGGGAAUCUUGAACAAUGGGGGAAACCCUGAUCCAGCCAUGCCGCGUGAGUGAUGAAGGCCUUCGGGUUGUAAAACUCUUUCGACGGGGACGAUAAUGACGGUACCCGUAGAAGAAGCUCCGGCUAACUUCGUGCCAGCAGCCGCGGUAAUACGAAGGGGGCUAGCGUUGUUCGGAAUUACUGGGCGUAAAGCGCGCGCAGGCGGUUUUCCAAGUCAGUGGUGAAAGCCCGGAGCUCAACUCCGGAACUGCCAUUGAAACUGUUAAACUUGAGGACGAGAGAGGUGAGUGGAAUUCCCAGUGUAGAGGUGAAAUUCGUAGAUAUUGGGAAGAACACCAGUGGCGAAGGCGGCUCACUGGCUCGUUUCUGACGCUCAGGCGCGAUAGCGUGGGGAUCAAACAGGAUUAGAUACCCUGGUAGUCCACGCCGUAAACGAUGAAUGCUAGCCGUUGGGUAGCUUGCUAUUCAGUGGCGCAGCUAACGCAUUAAGCAUUCCGCCUGGRGAGUACGGCCGCAAGGUUG